UUGCCUCCGGGGACGAACCACUGACCUUCGGGCGGGGGCUCCGGGUGGACACUUCAAACUCUUGCGUAACUUUGCAGUCUGAGUAAACUUAAUUAAUAAAUUAAAACUUUUAACAACGGAUCUCUUGGUUCUGGCAUCGAUGAAGAACGCAGCGAAAUGCGAUAAGUAAUGUGAAUUGCAGAAUUCAGUGAAUCAUCGAAUCUUUGAACGCACAUUGCGCCCCCUGGUAUUCCGGGGGGCAUGCCUGUUCGAGCGUCAUUUCACCACUCAAGCCUCGCUUGGUAUUGGGCAUCGCGGUCCGCCGCGUGCCUCAAAUCGACCGGCUGGGUCUUCUGUCCCCUAAGCGUUGUGGAAACUAUUCGCUAAAGGGUGUUCGGGAGGCUACGCCGUAAAACAACCCCAUUUCUAAGGUUGACCUCGGAUCAGGUAAGGAUACCCGCU
rnacentral:rRNA from 1 species